AGCAGCCGCGGUAAUUCCAGCUCCAAUAGCGUAUAUUAAAGUUGUUGCAGUUAAAAAGCUCGUAGUUGAAUUUCGGGGUCAGCAGGUUGGUCAUGCCUCUGGUAUGCACUGGUUUCGCUGAUUCCUCCUUUCUGAAGAACUGUAAUGUCAUUAAUUUGGUGUUGCAGGGAAACAGGACUGUUACUUUGAAAAAAUUAGAGUGUUUAAAGCAAGCUAACGCUUGAAUACAUUAGCAUGGAAUAAUGAAAUAGGACGUUUGAUCCUAUUUUGUUGGUUUCUAGGAUUGACGUAAUGAUUAAUAGGGAUAGUUGGGGGCAUUAGUAUUCAAUUGUCAGAGGUGAAAUUCUUGGAUUUAUUGAAGACUAACUACUGCGAAAGCAUUUGCCAAGGAUGUUUUCAUUAAUCAAGAACGAAAGUUAGGGGAUCGAAGACGAUCAGAUACCGUCGUAGUCUUAACCAUAAACUAUGCCGACUAGGGAUCGGAUGAUGUUAAUUUUUUAAUGACUCG
rnacentral:rRNA from 1 species